rnacentral:rRNA from 1 species
GACGGAGGAUGCAAGCGUUAUCCGGAAUGAUUGGGCGUAAAGCGUCCGCAGGUGGCAGUUCAAGUCUGCUGUCAAAGACCGGGGCUUAACUUCGGAAAGGCAGUGGAAACUGAACAGCUAGAGUAUGGUAGGGGCAGAGGGAAUUCCUGGUGUAGCGGUGAAAUGCGUAGAGAUCGGGAAGAACACCGGUGGCGAAAGCGCUCUGCUGGACCACAACUGACACUCACAGGACGAAAGCUAGGGGAGCAAAUGGG